UACGUAGGGUGCGAGCGUUGUCCGGAAUUAUUGGGCGUAAAGAGCUCGUAGGCGGUGUGUCACGUCGAUCGUGAAAACUUUCAGCUUAACUGGGAGCUUGCGGUCGAUACGGGCAUCACUGGAGUUCGGCAGGGGAGACUGGAAUUCAAAGGUGUAGCGGUGAAAUGCGCAGAUAUCUUGAGGAACACCGGUGGCGAAGGCGGGUCUCUGGGCCGAUACUGACGCUGAGGAGCGAAAGCGUGGGGAGCGAACAGG
rnacentral:rRNA from 1 species